CAAAGUAUAGCUAAAUAGAAAGCAUUUCAGUUACGUUGAAAAGGACUACCGUGCAAGUCGGUUUACUUUGA
rnacentral:tRNA from 1 species